CUCAGUAGAUGAGAGGAGAGAGCUACUGAGCCAUAGUAUUUGGUCCAUCUCCUCAUCAUUUUCUUUCUCUGCUAACAUUGUGGUCUCCUCCAUCCCCCACCAGGUAUCAGUCUUCAUUGACUCAGGAGCUGAUACUGAGUUUAUGGAUGAGUCUUUUGCCAAGGGCCUAAAUAUCAAACUCCUCACUACUCCAUCGAUCCAUAAUGUUCUGGCUUUGGAUGGACAUCCUAUUAGCCGGUCCCACCUCAUCACAGAAAAGACAAUGCCAUUGAGGAGACUUACCCUGACUUAUCCAGGGUGCCAUCUGAUUACCAUGACCUGAAGGAGGUGUUCAAUAAGUCCCGGGCCACUGCGCUUCCCUUUCAUAGGCCCUACGAUUGUGCCAUUGAGCUCCUUCCAGGACUUUAUCCAGCGCUGAACGUAACUAUGAUGUGGGGGAAAGAGAACUGUUGGCUGUUAAGUUAGCCCUUGAGGAAUGGAGACACUGGCUGGAGGGGGCCAAAGACCCAUUUCU